rnacentral:misc_RNA from 1 species
UGCGUAGCAGUACAACUAGCGAACGUGUUUAUACCAUGCAAGGGGGAGGGGUGAUGGCUUGCCUAGCCCCUUCCUCUAAUGUCAUGUGGCUUUCCUUAGUGAUUACCGCAUGCCAAAAUAACAAACCCCCGGCGCGUUUAUGCGUCAAGGAAUAUAUUCACGAUCUUGCCCAUCCUGAACCGGGUUUCCGGCAUGCGGGUGCGGCACCAAUGUAAGUCAUGGAAUGA